CAGCGGCCCUAGUGGUGAUCGUUAUUAUUGGGCCUAAAGCGUCCGUAGCCGGUUCGGUAAAUCUCUGGGUAAAUCGUUGGGCUUAACUCAACGAAUUCUGGGGAGACUGCCGAACUUGGGACCGGGAGAGGUCGGAGGUACUCCAGGGGUAGGGGUGAAAUCCUGUAAUCCUUGGGGGACCACCGGUGGCGAAGGCGUCCGACCAGAACGGGUCCGACGGUAAGGGACGAAGCCCUGGGGCGCGAACCGGAUUAGAGACCCGAGUAGUCC
rnacentral:rRNA from 1 species